GUCAUAGAUAAUGAAAAUGUUUACACUGCAGUUUGCUUCCAAAAUUAGCUCAGAAAGAGGUACCCUGUAAAGUUCACACAUAGACCUACCAAGAUAUUACAAGGGAAUCAACCUACAUGUAGACCUCUAUUUUAUUCAGGAUGUGAAUCAACUUAUUCCAGGUUUUUGUUGAUAUUUGACACUUUUGAUUGAUUAGGCCUAAAUAGAAGCUGCUUCAGAUUAGUGCUUCAAAUUUUCAACUAUUUUUUGGAGAAAUAUUGAGGAACGAUAAGGCUUGGAUAGCGUCAUGGAGUACUAGUAAGGACCCAAAAAUUUUGAGCUUGUAAGUUGUAUUCAGGUGAGUACUAAGUAUUUAAUUUUUUUAUUGUUUUAGAAAACUUCUUCUUUUUCUUCUUCUGUACGUGUCGACAGACUUAGUAGUCCACAUACAAACCAUGGAGCUAUUAUGUACAAACACAGGAACCAGAACGUGUGGUUAUAUUGUCUGUAAUUUUAUCUUGCAUUUUUAUUACAGGUAAAACAGAUAAAUUAUUGGAAUAUUAUCUAGGCCUAUAUCUUGGAUGACUUCUGCAUCCUAACUGUGAUAAUGAUAAACAGUAACCAUAUCUGAAAUGUAGCUGAUUUUUUUCAAAAUUCAAAAUGAUGUGAUAAACUUUAACAAAUUUCAGGCAUUCACAUCCCAGGGCUGUAGCUGUAAAAUAGAGGCAUGAAAAAACUCUAUUAUAAGAUGACUUCAUUGUAAAAACACACAUUGCAUUUGGCUCGACAGUGGGAGAAGGAAAUUUAAUUAUGUUGCGCUGUCAGAAGGGAUUAAAAACUACCUGUUCAUGAAUAAUUGUGAAAGUUGUGUUGUUAAAGAGAUUGCUUGAGCAGAGCUGCAUAAUUGACGGUGUCUUUUCUGUUUUUUGUUUGUUUUUUUGUUUUGAAGUUUUAUAUAAUGGAGAGCUAGAUUAACAACUUCAAAUAGAAUCAACACCAGGGAGAAUAUAACGUGAUAGGGCUACACUUCAUAUGAAAGUUGAUACUGCCUGGUCUUCUUACGUGUACAUGUAUACUGUACAUGUUUUAGUUCUGAACAUAGGCCCUUCAUUGUACGUAGGCCUACAUGUAUACGUGUAUGUAAGAUAAGAUUAUAAGACUGCAGUAAGGAAUCGCCUUCAAUUCAAAUGGUGAUUUGAAUCGUAGAGAAAUCAAUUUGUCAUAAUCCCUCCCUUUGAAUAGAUCAAUUUGAGGAUAUACAAACUUCUACAAUGGUUUCCAUCUGAGUUAAACCCCUCUUGCUUCAGUCCUUCAAACUUGUCAUGAAAAUAGAAGGCUCUUCUCACAUAUCGAGGGGAAGCUACAAAAAUUAGUUUGACAAAUUACUGUAAUUUUGGUGCGGAUUGAACCCUUUUAUCAAAUUCAUCUUUUAAGGGCCUAGCUUGAUGGUUCUUUGAUGUUAUUUUAAUGAUACCAGAAAGUUUUUCAUCAAGAGGGCUUUAUAGCUAGUUGUGGCUACAAGGAAUGGUGAAUGAUUGAAAACAACACGAUGUAGAGUAAAUCAAAUGGGUGUGGCAUCAUUCUUUCAACAAUUUGUAACUUUGGGUUUCAUGAUUACUUGGGUCCCAUUUCAUUUUCCAGGACAAGAGUCCACUUUAGGGAUUUAUGUUUAUUAUAAGAACCACUUUUUCAAAGGGAACAAGUACACUGACAUCCACUCUUAAUGUAUUGAUUUAUCAAUCUAUUGAGUGUGACUAUAUUCCUAAUAAGAUAUAUGAAAAUCUGCUUUAAAAAUCCAUUACAUAUCUUUUAAAAAAAUAUAAUAAAUGAAGUUUAAAUUACAUUGUACAGUGUGCUUUAACAAAAUUAGCAAACAGUUAUUUUUUUUAAAGGAAGAUGGGAAAAUUUGUUGCAGAGAUUUGAUGAUGGUUUGAAGGAUGGGUUUCAUAUCGCUUAGGAUUCAAGGUUUAAACACACUAGAUAUGAUGCUAUCCAAUUAAACCAAGAUUACAGCACAAGAUCUUUUGAUUAUCUUGUUUUUGUCCUCUGCUAAACACUUUAAUAUGACUCGGGCAUGUUGAGUUAUAGGCCUAUUAUUAUUUAAGAAUUAUGAACCCUUCAAGGAUGAAGAAAGCUAUAAGAAAUUCCAGAAUAGUGUGAUAUGCAUUUAAAUGAUUUGGGAGGAGUGGAUUUAUCAAUAUUAAGGGAUAAUUUUACAUAUUCAUUUUACUCUAAUGUAGGCUACUGAACAUUCAAUUAUUUCUUUAUAUUUAUCUUGUCACUUAAAUAGAUAAAUGUAGCAGCAAUGAAUUACAAUUUAUUUCCUCCUAUCCAUGAGUCAAUAUCUUUCAAGUUUAUGAGGACGAAGGGUAAAGGGGCUUACAUUUUUAGCAAUUACUGUUCAAAAUAUGAUUCUGUGGACUCAAAUUUCCAUUGUUAAACAUUUUUCAUCCAAAAUAUGACAAUGGAGGUAGGCCUAUAUUAUGUCAGCAUCACAAUUUUCUCAAAAUAAUGUUCUAUUAUGUCCAUCUCUUUGGACGCAUGGAGUAACUGUAACAGGGAUAAACUUGAUAUUGUAUGUGAUACUUAUGGCUAUUACCGACCAAGCGAUCUUUCUCUAUUAGGCCCAUGCAGAGUUCUGUUGAAAAACCAUUAGGAUGAUAUUAUCUGCUGGUAUGGAUAGCAUCACCUACACAGUGAGUUCACACUAAAAACUAGUAGUGUCCAUUGUAGGUCCAGUACAUUUGUCUUUUCUUUGCUCUUUUAAGCUUGUAUUCUUGUAAUACAAUGGAGAUCUGAUUAAAAUAGAACUUCAAGAACAUCUUUUAUGAUAAAGCAUCUAAGCUUGAUCCAUUUGCCAAUUGGGCAGGCAACCUUUAUAUAUGUGAUUUGUAACCGAUACAUAUAGAUAUUUAUUAUUAUAAAAUCUUGUUUGUAAUUCAAGCAGGGUAAUUGUGGUUAAGGUUUAAUCUUCGCAUUAUACUUUAUUUUCGUAGUAAUUUUGGCGUAAUUUCUCUUCCAACUUUUUUCAUAGAGAGUAUUUUAUGUUGUAAAAAAAAUGUUAUUUAUAUAUUACUGUGUACCUAAUUUUUAAACUACCUUAAAAUAUGUAUAAAUUUUGGAGCAGAUUUUAUUAUUUUCAAAUUUUAUUCCAAUUUCCGCAUUGGCUAUUGAAUAUCAGAGGUAAAUGUGAACACACUGUUAGUCUACGUGUGGGCAGAUUAUCCACUCUAGAGCACAGUCAAGAUCAAAUUAUUGACUUUAAAGAGGCGGUAAUUGGAGGCCAACUAUCACAAGGAGGAGGAGAUGGAGGAGGGAUGGAUGAUGAGGACCAAGAUGUAGUCCUCCAGUAAUGAAAUCUUUGCACCUAUGGGUGGUGAUUGAGGGGUCUUGGGUCGAACAGUUUUAGCAGCGGGAUGAGGAUUGGAGGAAUGGGAUGGUGAUGUGGAUGGGGGAUAAUAGACUCCAGCGGGAAGAAGAUAGAAGGAUCGUUCCUUUGUCAAUUCUGAGGGUAAUUAGGAACAUAGACCCCUCUCGAUGCCAUCCAUUUCUUAUUUGGGCUGCAAAAGUAAAGAAUGUGAAGUAUUAGGAUAUGGGCCUAUAUUUUAUCAUGUAAGUGUAACAAAGAAGGAAGUAAAGAAGGGAGAUUUUAAAGAAAUUUGAAAAAAAAAGGAGAAGUCAUGAUAGACAAUCAAUAUGGAAAAAGGGAGCAAAUAUUGGGGGAGAACAAAGAUCAUCACCGUGAUAGCUUGAUGCAUAGAUGUACAUGGAAUUUAUUGAGAAAUAGGUACAGGCUUUUUAUCUGUUGGGAUUUCUUUAUAAAAAGUCAGUAAAGUAGGCCCCAGAUGGAGUCAGUUUUGCCACAAAGGCAAACAAAUAUUAAAUAGAGGAGGCCACUGACCUACAGUUCUUAUGGAGAAUAUAGCUCCAUGUUUAUAUCCCUAGACAUACAUGUGUACUGUUGGCAAUAAAAUUGACCAAAUUUCCUUGAUCUCAUCUCAUAUCACACCAGAGUGUACGAAAACAGGUGAGGAGUCUUUCCUUCUUAUGGUGCAGUAUGUGAUCGGUACAAGAAGUUGAGGUUAAUUGUUCUAUUCCAGCUCUUCUCUCUGGUGUAACAUUCUUGGAAAUCUACCCCUCCAUCCCUCAUCUGACAAAUAAUACACACAUGCAGGCAUAGGCCUACAUAAAUGUGGUAAGCUGCUUGUGCAUGGGUCAUCGUCGCCUCAUGCUUGAACCAUGGACCUACAUGCUUGAACAUAUAGAUUUACUUGGAAAUAAUUAAUUGGCAUACUCUCAUGUACCUGUAGGCCUCUACUUGUAUUUUUCAAAGCUCCUUCAGCCUUAAAAAUUAAAAUAAAUUAUUAUAUAAGAAAAAUCAUUACUGUAUGUAUAAUUUAGAAUGUUUUGUUGUUGUUAUUCUGAUAAUAGAUGGAAAAAGUUAAUUUAAUGACCCAAUGUAGAGAAACAGUUGUGAAAUACAGGGACAUAGAACUAUGAAAGUGUGAUAUGAUACACAUGCAAGGGUAAGUUUAUAUCAAAAUUUUGUAAGUAGGUACUGUAAGUUAGGGUAGUGUUUAGGACUAUUCCUGCAUUAACUUUUGAUAACCACUUAGCAGUAUUGGAGACUGUAUGCAUCUCUGCAUAUCAGGCAGCCAGCAUGUUGAGAUAAUGACAAUUGUUUUCCGAACACUACCCCUCUAAACCAAACCAGUUAGCAUUCCAGGCAGAGUUGGGGAUUAUCAGCUGUGGUGGAACCGCCGGCAGGAGAAUUCCUGCGUUACGCAGUCCCCUUCCGCCCGUCCAGGUCCUUUCAUCGCGGCAGCGGCCCGCGUCAGAUGAUCUGUACUGCCGUUGUUUACCUACGGUCCCAUCUGAAUCAGACUGGAAUCAGAUGGGGUGCUGGGUACUAGUCGCAUGUUGAGUUGGGUCUUAACCUCCGCUUAGUACAAGAUUUAGCUACAAAUGAGAGACAUAUUCUGUAAACAUUUCUGGUUUAUUUCAGCUUUUAUUUCCUUUAUGUUACUCUACUCAGAGACUAAUCAGAAGGGGCAAAAACGAUACAAGUAGAAUGGUUGAGCUUACAGGACAGGUUGGGAGAUGGAAUCUGUAAAACCUGUUUUUCAUUUUCCCAUUUUGAAUAAAUAAACAAGUCUUCAUCUCAGUGAAUAAAGUUUUUGUGGCUACUUGAUUAAGUGAGUUAACAGGAAAGAUGAAUUACAAUAUUGAAAGUAUACUAUAAAGCAUUACUCAUUCUCUGAUUAAUUAUUGGAUAUCUUGAGGUUACUUAAAUAUUGCACAUUGUGGGAAUGACGCAUCGAGCCAUGAAGACAUGUUUGGCAUCUUGAUUAAACAAAGAAAUCAGCAUUAUCGUUGUCUGUGUAAUUAUGAAGUGAUCAAAGGUUCAACUUAUUUAUUUGUUUGUUUGUUUGUGUAUCAGGUGAAAUGGUGGUGAAAUACUUGGAAACAAAAAUAAACUGUUUAAUCUGUUGCAUUUUUAAGACCACAUUUGAACAAUCGCAGAAAAAACACUGGGUGAAUAUCCUCAACAGGUUUUGGACAUACGCCUCCAGCUUGACCGAAGAAGAGACGUGAUUGGUCGUUUAGCCAGCCAUUAACAUUCCAACGAAUAACUUUUCCCAUGUCACAACAACCCAAGUUGUACCAAAGAUAUAAACGAUGGAGUCAUUAAUAAUCUCUUUGCAUUUUCAAGCUAGGCAUCUUUUUUUGCUGCUUCCGCAAUCCCAUCUCUUCAAUAUAGUCCUGUACUGGAGGAGAUCUUGAAGAGAGUAGCAGCAUCUCCUGCAUUCCUCCUGGGUUAGGGAGCCUGAACCCUUCCCAUGAGUCAUAGCAAUAUAUCCGUCAUCACCUGUGAUUUGGGCGCAGGUAUGCACCCCCUUCCAACCUCUCACAGAGUGGGAGAAGGGCGCAAAAAAAAGAGCUUUAGCAAAAAAUGGUCCCAGGCGUCGUCCAUUCUGUCCGAUGGGGGUGUCGAGGUAAGACCUAGCUCCAUCGCAAGAAACUUCAACCCAAUCUUGCUUUCGUCUCACAGACUCUUCAACCAUAUGGAAUGAUGUGUUAUAGUCGUUAUCAAUCAAACUUGUUUUUUCAUGCUCUCCAAUUAAAAACCUCUCAAUGCUAAGGAUAGAGGUGCCUCUCAGAGCUGUGACUGUUAGCUUGUGGAUCUUUCAUUACUUUUCAGUCAAGCAAGCUGAACUCCUGGUAGGGUUGGAGUCCAGCGGACGGAAAAGCACGGUCUAUCAGACAGAACUAGCGAGUGACUUCGGGAGAACAGCAAAGUUGAGGGAUUUGUUCGUUCUUCGCUGUAGGCAUUCGGUGUGGAAGGAAGAUACCCUGUUUUUAGUAAUGCCAACUAUUGAAAUGGAAUGACAUCCACUUGGUGUGUUAUGUAGAGCUCGUGAUAUUAUAUACCGUGUUGUGCUAUCACUGUGGUGUAUUGUUUCCAGAGCGUUGCGUUGCCUGGUACUGACUUCCUUGAUUGAAACUAGGACUGUGAACUUAACUUAACUUAUUUUCUGGAAUAUCCUUCUACCUGUAAGUAAGCAAGAUAAGUCAUUCUUUGUUUCAUUUAGAAAUAUUUUGGUAGUUGCAAGCCUGGCUGUAUGUGUAUAGGGUACUUGGCCAGCAUAUCGUGAUAUUGAAAGAUUUCAACUAAAUUCAAUGCAUAUUGAGAAGAAAGAUUUUUUCAUUCCUGAGUGGAAGAUUGAGGAGAAAGGAGAUUAGGAGAGGAUGAGCAGAUAAAGAAAUAUCAUAAGGGUAUUCAAGAUGUAUAAAUCAUACAUAAAAGAUGAAGGAAGAAGUCAAAGUUAAGUUGUAGGUAAGAGUGGAAAGGAUGGAAGGAAAGGGAAAUGAGAUUGUGGGAGACAUAGAGAAUAGAUAACCUCAACAUUACAAACCAAGACAGAAAAAGUCAUCUAAAUAUUGGUGCAUUUACUGCUUUUAUUACCUACACGCAUUUUCUGUGUGCUUUUUUGUUUAAUAGCAAACUUGGGUUCUAAAUAAUGUUUUCAUGUUUUA